GUCCGGGUCGCGGCGAGCCGACUCGCGCCCGCCGCGGCCGCGAGGCCAAGGCUGGGUGACCUGCCCCGCGCCCCACGCCCUGCCGGGGUCCCCACUCGGGACCCUGACUCUCCUGGCUCUCGAAAGGGGAUCUGGCCCCUUCUUCUGGUCUCCAUGGCACCGAGAACAUAUGUGGUACACACGUCUAGAUUUGGCCACCAGAGACUGCAACUGAAAGCAGAUCUCUGACAGCGGUUUCCUCUGCCCAGCAGCUUCCAGCGGUUCCUGAUAGUGGCCUGGAGUCACCAAGUCUGCCUUUGGAAUCUGAUGGCCC